ACGGCCGUACCAUGCAGAAUAUACCGGUUCUCGUUAGAUCACCGAAGUCAAGCAUCAUUGGGCGCGGUCAGUACUUGGGUGGGUGACCACCUGGGAACACUGCGUGCCGUU
rnacentral:rRNA from 1 species